AGCCUGAGAACGGCUACUACAUCUACGGAAGGCGAGGGCGUAAUUACACAAUCCUGACUCAAGGAGGUGGUGACAGAUAUAACGACGCGAUUAUGUCGUGAUUGUAGUGAGGAUAUUCCAAAAGAUCACAAGAACGAUUAGAGGGCAAGUCUGGUGCCAGCAGCCGCGGUAUUCCAGCUCUAAUAGCGUAUAUUAAAGUUGCUGCAGUUAAAAGCUCGUAGUUGGAUUUCAGGAUUUUAUUCCUCUCCAUUUAAUGUGUACCCUACUAGCCAGUUCUGGCUGUUACUGUGAGAAAUUAGAGUGUUUAAAGCAGCUCAUGCAAGAUACAUUAGCAUGAAUACCGAUGAGCCUAGAACCUGGACUCAGACCGACAAGAAGAGGAGGCAUAGAUUUAUUGCAGACGUUGAUAUCUCUUGUAUUUGUUAAGACUACUUAUGCGAGGAUUUGCAAGAUGUUUCAUAUCAGACGAUGAAGGGAUCAAGACAUCAAUCUGCGAGUCUACUAUAACUAUGCGACUAGGAUGAUGGAUUUACAUUCAGACCUUAGGAAACCAGCUUUGGUUCUGGGGACUUGUCCAGACUGACCUAAAAUUGCGAGGACCCAGGAUGGAGCUGCGCUAUUUACUCACGGGACUAGUCAACAUAAAUGACAUGAGCCUCUGAUCAGGGUGCAGCCCUAUUGGAGAUUCGGUAUCACACGACUACGUAUGCCAUAGGAAUCUAGACUACACGGAUAGAAAUGUGGCAUCCGCC
rnacentral:rRNA from 1 species